CGCACAUAUAUACUCCUUGGGGUGUGCUUAAAUCGGAGUCGAGCUGAGUCAUAUUGUAAGAAUCCAAUGCCCGUAGUAGUACAAUACCGCCGCCACCGUUAAGCUAUUCGUUGAAGACCUCCAUUCUGUUGUGGACGACGUUCAGUGGUUUUUUUUUUCCUACUCGUUCGCGGUUUUUUAACGUAUUCCGUACCCGUAAACUCUAGUACUGUGACAGUACAUACUUUCGCGCUCGCACCCAUAACAUAAAUCGCAAUGGCAUCGGGAGUGACCGUAGCGGACGCAUGCAAAAAGAUCUACGAGGAAAUAAAAAAGGACAAGAAGCACAGGUACGUGGUAUUUCACAUCAAAGACGAGAAGCAGAUCGACAUCGAGAAGAUCGGCGAGCGUAAUUAUGACUACAGCCAGUUCCUAGAAGACCUACAAAAGGGCGGACCGCAAGAGUGUCGUUACGGUCUAUUUGAUUUCGAAUACACUCACCAGUGUCAGGGCACAUCUGAGAGCUCCAAGAAGCAAAAGCUCUUCUUGCUCUGCUGGUGCCCAGACACGGCCAAAGUCAAGAAGAAGAUGGUCUACUCGUCCAGCUAUGAUGCGCUCAAGAAGUCGCUGGUAGGCGUACACAAGUCGUUCCAGGCCACCGAUCUCUCGGAAGCAUCCCAAGAAGUCAUCGAGGAGAAGCUCAGAUCCACUGACAGACAGUAAAAAAAUAAAUUAUUUUCAACACACAUACAUAUUAUGUAUAUUUAUAAAAACAAAGUUUUCAUCUUUACGUUUUGGUAUUAAAUUAAAUAAAAAUAAAAAUACAAAAAAAUUACCUAGUACUUCCACAACGUAAUCAUUUAUUACAAAAUAUUAUUAUAAAUUUACUAACAUUUUUAAAUAAGAUAAAAAAAAAAACCAAAUAAUCAUAAUAUUAUACAUUGUUAUAAAGCGAAUAUGUUCCCUUAUAGGAACAUUUAUUUUAUACCUAUAUUAUUAUUUUAAGUAUUUUAAUGCAUGCGUGUUUAAUUUCUCAUGGACAAAUUAUACGUAUUUCGAACUUGAAGCUCUCUAUUUUGUUGGUUUUUUUUUUCAUUCAUUUUUCCGCGUAUAGUUUUCCACUAUACUAGUAAUGUCGUAUUUGCGGGUUGUGUGUCUGUGUGUGUGUAUGUGUGUGUGUGUGUACAUUAUUGAUGAUACUAAACUGUAACAUUCAGUUUUAAAACGAGUAGUAUUAAUAUAAUAAUACUAUUGUAUCAAGUAUUAUGAUUACACAGCAUUGGUUUUAUUUCUUUAAAGCCGUGUCGAAUACGAACUUUGGUCUGUUCGGUUUCUUUUUCUUCCCAUUUCCCAGUCUAUUAUCG